CAUGUAGGCGGAUUAAUAAGUUUGAAGUGAAAUCCUAUAGCUUAACUAUAGAACUGCUUUGAAAACUGUUAAUCUAGAAUGUGGGAGAGGUAGAUGGAAUUUCUGGUGUAGGGUAAAAGUACCGUAGAGAUCAGAAGGAAUACCGAUUGCGAAGGCGAUCUACUGGAACAUUAUUGACGCUGAGAUGCGAAAGCGUGGGGAGCAAACA
rnacentral:rRNA from 1 species